rnacentral:rRNA from 1 species
CAGCCGUAAACUAUGCGCGUUAGGUGUAUCGGUGACCACGAGUUACCGAGGUGCCGAAGGGAAACCGUGAAACGUGCCGCCUGGGAAGUACGGUCGCAAGGCUGAAACUUAAAGGGAAUUGGCGGGGGAGCACCACAACAGGUGGAGCCUGCGGUUUAAUUGGACUCAACGCCGGGAAGCUCACCGGAUAGGACAGCAGAAUGAUUGCCGGGCUGAAGACCCUGCAUGACUAGCUGAGAGGUGGUGCAUGGCGUCAGUGACU